UACGGGGGGAGCAAGCGUUGUUCGGAUUUACUGGGCGUAAAGGGCGCGUAGGCGGCCACCGCAAGUCACUGUGAAAUCUCCGGGCUUAACCCGGAAAGGUCAGCCGAUACUGCGGGGCUAGAGUGCAGAAGGGGCAACUGGAAUUCUCGGUGUAGCGGUGAAAUGCGUAGAUAUCGAGAGGAACACCUGCGGCGAAGGCGGGUUGCUGGGCUGACACUGACGCUGAGGCGCGAAAGCUAGGGGGAGCGAACGGGG
rnacentral:rRNA from 1 species